rnacentral:lncRNA from 1 species
GUAUUAGUACAAAAAAUAAAACAAUAACACUUGGGCUUUAGGCUAUGCUGGUGGGUGCGGGGUUCGUCCCGGGCUGGCACCCGAUGACGUGACGUCUACGUGACGGAUCAUCCCAAAAAGAUCCUCCACACCCACCAGCCUUAGCCUUAGAAAUCCCAAAACCCAAAGCAUCGAGAAUACACACAACACAACUACCUAGUACUGUAAAAUUAACCGUCGAGUACAGAGAGUACAAAAAUACUUGCGUUUAGUCUUAUAAUACAACGGAAGAAAACACAAUCUCCACUGGCUUUCAACAUCCAUCGCCUUUAUCAACCCGCCGCAAUACGGACACGAUCCCGGCGCCUGUUGUUGCCCCACGACCCGCUCAUCUUCAUCGCACACAAACACUAAACACAUCUUCAAUUCUCUAUCCAAACAACGAUGAUUAUUGGACACGCAGCAGUUGAUGGUUUUUGCACAACUAUCUGCGAUCAAGGUGGAUGUGAUAUUUAUUUAUAGGAUGAUGUUUAAGGUGCUAUGCAGGGGGUGUUGUAUGCUGUGCAAGUGAAGUUGUACGGUGAUUUGGAUUGGGGGUACGUGUCCGUAACGUGUUGAUGUGUACAAAAUAAGUUUAUGUACGUUGUGUAUAAUUGAAUGAAUAUGGCUGAAUACAUUAUU